rnacentral:tRNA from 1 species
UUCUUUUAAGUAUAAACUCGUAUAUUUGGCUUCCAACCAAAAGGUCUAAAAUUAUUUAGAAAAGAAA